GAUUUUAGGAUUUUAGGUCUUACUAGCAUGAUCCAUUCAUGUCUCCUAAAACUAUUGUCCUAAUCUUUGGGGUUCAUCAUAAUCUUGACAUAAUAAGAUGCAGCUAAUAUGAUAAAUCAAUGCCUCAAAUAAUAAAUAUCAUUUCAUGAGUUAGAAAAUUAUAAAGAAAAGUUCCAUCACAACACACUUGCGAUUGGCUUAUAGGGCACUCAUCUUUCAGCACACACCCAAUAGGAUCCAAGGAGGGGUUGCUAGUUGGAGGAUGGCUGAUGAUAGCUGAGGGGUGGCCGAUAAUGUGGUAACAAGUCUUAAGGAUUGAUAGGGAUUAAAUGGGACUAACCACCUUACCUACCGCAUGAGGGUGAUCUAGCUUGAUGCGAAUCAACUCAGGGAUGCG
rnacentral:lncRNA from 1 species